AAUGCGACCUCAGCUCAGGCGGGGCUACCCGCUGA
rnacentral:rRNA from 1 species